rnacentral:rRNA from 1 species
AGACCCGAAACCCGGUGAUCUAGCCAUGGGCAGGUUGAAGGUUGGGUAACACUAACUGGAGGACCGAACCGACUAAUGUUGAAAAAUUAGCGGAUGACCUGUGGCUGGGGGUGAAAGGCCAAUCAAACCGGGAGAUAGCUGGUUCUCCCCGAAAGCUAUUUAGGUAGCGCCUCGUGAAUUCAUCUCCGGGGGUAGAGCACUGUUUCGGCUAGGGGGCCAUCCCGGCUUACCAACCCGAUGCAAACUGCGAAUACCGGAGAAUGUUAUCACGGGAGACACACGGCGGGUGCUAACGUCCGUCGUGAAGAGGGAAACAACCCAGACCGCCAGCUAAGGUCCCAAAGUCAUGGUUAAGUGGGAAACGAUGUGGGAAGGCCCAGACAGCCAGGAUGUUGGCUUAGAAGCAGCCAUCAUUUAAAGAAAGCGUAAUAGCUCACUGGUCGAGUCGGCCUGCGCGGAAGAUGUAACGGGGCUAAACCAUGCACCGAAGCUGCGGCAGCGACACUCAGGUGUUGUUGGGUAGGGGAGCGUUCUGUAAGCCUGCGAAGGUGGCCUGUGAGGGUUGCUGGAGGUAUCAGAAGUGCGAAUGCUGACAUAAGUAACGAUAAAGCGGGUGAAAAGCCCGCUCGCCGGAAGACCAAGGGUUCCUGUCCAACGUUAAUCGGGGCAGGGUGAGUCGACCCCUAAGGCGAGGCCGAAAGGCGUAGUCGAUGGGAAACGGGUUAAUAUUCCCGUACUUGGUGUUACUGCGAAGGGGGGACGGAGAAGGCUAUGUUGGCCGGGCGACGGUUGUCCCGGUUUAAGCGUGUAGGUGUGUGUUCCAGGUAAAUCCGGUUCACUUUAACACUGAGGCGUGAUGACGAGGCACUACGGUGCUGAAGCAACAAAUGCCCUGCUUCCAGGAAAAGCCUCUAAGCAUCAGGUAACAUCAAAUCGUACCCCAAACCGACACAGGUGGUCAGGUAGAGAAUACCAAGGCGCUUGAGAGAACUCGGGUGAAGGAACUAGGCAAAAUGGUGCCGUAACUUCGGGAGAAGGCACGCUGACAC